UCUGGGAUCUCUCCACUUCCGGGGAAGGAAGGAGAGGUUUUUUGAAUUUGUUGCCGGAGACUUAAGGUUUCCUGAGUCUCUGAUACUUUUCUUGAUUGAUUGUGAAUCUCUGAUAUGUGGAGGACCUGGCUGUAGUCCUUCAGGCUGGGAGAGAGAUUGUACAUCAGGCGCGUGCUCUUCUCCCUGCGAGGCGCCGCGGCUCCGCAGUAGCGGACCCGCAGAGGAAAGGAGGAAGCCAGGGUGGCAGCCGCUGGGUCUCCCGGUUGCCACCAGUCUUACCAUGCUUCCCUGUGAUAUUUGUGGUGAAAUGGUAACCUCAGAAUCAGAUAUGAAGACUCACCUCCUAAUUGUUCACAUGGAAAAUGAAGUUAUAUGUCCAUUUUGCAAGUUGUCAGGUGUAAAUUAUGAUGAAAUGUGCUUUCAUAUUGAAACUGCUCAUUUUGAUCAGAAUGCUCUAGAAAGAAACUUUGAGAGGGUAGACCCAAUACAGUAUGGAACUUCAGAUGACAAGGACAGCUCUCUGCAGAGUACAAUGGAAGCUUGUGCAUCUAGUCAUCCAAAAUGUUCAGCUCAAAGCCCGCCUACCCAUGGUACUUUAAAACAUGAAAUCGUUUACUCAGAGAACUUAAUUGGAUCUAGAAAAUUCCUGAGAAGUAGGGAAAACCAGUCUGACUUAUCUGAAACAAAAGAAUCCAUUUAUGAAACAAUGUAUAGUCCUCCUGAAUGUCCAUUCUGUGGAAUAAUAGAGGAAUGUAGUCAAGAUAUGGAAAAUCAUGUGAAAACAAAGCAUGUCAGUCUUUUAGACACACCAUUAGAAGACUGUGAUCAACCAUUGUAUGACUGCCCUAUGUGUGGUCUCGUCUGCACAAAUUAUCAUAUUCUCCAGGAACAUGUUGACUUGCAUUUAGAAGAAAGGAGCUUUCAACAAGGCAUGGAUAGAAUUCAGUGUUCUGCUGAUCUAGAAUUGGCUCACCAGCUUCAGCAGGAAGAAGACCGGAAGCAAUCUGAGGAGUCAGUACAAGAAAUGGAAGAAUUCCAUAAGCUGCAGCGACAAUAUGGUUUAGAUGGUUCUGGAGGAUAUAAACAACAGCAACUCCGGAAUAUGGAGAUAGAAGUAAAUAGAGGAAGAAUGCAUCCGACUGAGUUUCACAAGAGAAAAGCUGACCUGAUGGAAUCCCUUGCUGCUGGUGUUGAUGACGGAAAAACAAAAACUUCUGGAAUUAUUGAAGCACUUCAUAGAUACUAUCAGAACGCUGCCACAGAUGUGAGGCAUGUGUGGCUUUCUGCAGUGGUGGAUCAUUUUCAUUCUUCUCUAGGUGACAAAGGUUGGGGUUGUGGUUACAGAAAUUUCCAAAUGCUACUUUCGUCCUUAUUGCAGAAUGAGGCUUAUGAUGAUUGCUUGAAAGGUAUGUCAGUUCCUUGUAUCCCAAAAAUUCAGUCUAUGAUUGAAGAUGCAUGGAAAGAAGGUUUUGAUCCUCAGGGGGCCUCUCAACUUAAUAACAGGUUACAGGGAACAAAAGCCUGGAUUGGAGCAUGUGAAGUAUUUACCCUCCUGACUUCCCUGAGGGUCAAGUGCCGUAUUGUUGAUUUUCACAAGGCAACUGGUCCUUCGGGUACACAUCCUCGCUUAUUUGAAUGGAUAUUGAACUAUUAUUCUUCAGAGCAGGAAGGGAAUGCAAAGGUAGUAUGCACAUCCAAACCUCCUAUCUAUCUUCAGCAUCCAGGUUAGUAUAACUCCUAGGUAAGAGGUUAAGAUUUUGAUGAUAGGGAUGUGGGGGAAGUUUUGUGACAUUAGCCUCCCUUCUUGAGUACUAAAGGGCAGUAUUCCUGGCAUCUUGGGGGCCUUUUGCACAUGCUGUUUUCUUUGUGUGUAUCACUCUUCUUUCAUUUUUUUUUUGGUACCGGGGAUCGAACUCAGGUCCUUGCGCUUGCAAGGCAGGCAGCAGAACCACUGGGCUAAAUCCCGGCCCCACUCUCCUUUCAUUGCUCCUCCAUUACCUUCCUCAGAUCUUUAUCCAGAUGUCAUUUUAUUGAAGGCUGCCCCUGCCUCACCUUAUUUAAAAGUUCAUAGUUAGUCCCACAGCCCACCACUGGCAUUUCCUUCAUUUAUCUGCCUUGUUUACAGAGUGCCUGCUCCUCUUUGAAUAUAAGCUCCAUGAAAGCAGGCAUGUUGGUUUGUUUGUUGCUGUCUACCUUACUGCUGCAACCGUGCUGGCAUACAGAUAUGAGAGAAAUUUUAUUGAAUAAUGAUUUGCAUUGACAGGAAUAAAGAGAAGUAAUCAUUCAGGAAUACAAACCAUAAGAAAUUAAGCCCUCCCCAUUGAUAUUCUAGUAUAUAUAACUAACUUCUAUUGGCCUUUUGGACCCAUCAAUGUUUUCGAACUAGGAUAGGUCAUAGUCGAACAGUUAUUGGAAUUGAAGAGAGAAAAAACAAAACAUUAUGUUUACUAAUAUUUGAUCCUGGAUGUCCUUCUCGAGAAAUGCAGAAUCUAUUAAAACAAGACGUCGUGGCUAGUAGUAUCAAGCAACUUCGGAAACUUGUGGGAAAUUUAAAACAUAAGCAGUACCAGAUAGUGG